ensembl:lncRNA
CCAGACCGGGGUUCUGGUACUGACCUGAGGACAGCCUAGAGGGUCCGGUGGAGGAAACAAGGCGGGGGUCUCUGGCACAUCCGGUCUCCAACCAAACUCUCUCACCGUCUCAUACUCAUGACCAGGAGGCUCACCGGGAUAGUGCACGGGAUAGUGCACGUGAUCUGGGAGAAAGAAAGUUGGCAGAGGUGAGAACACACUGAGAUGUCUCACCAGACCUAUAGUGAGUGGACUCACCAUGGCUAUAGUGAGUUGUCCUACAGUGAGUUGUCUCUCCAGUCCUAUAGUGAGUGGACUCACCAUGGCUAUAGUGAGUUGUCCUACAGUGAGUUGUCUCUCCAGUCCUAUAGUGAGUGGACUCACCAUGGCUAUAGUGAGUUGUCCUACAGUGAGUUGUCUCUCCAGUCCUACAGUGAGUUGACUCACCAUGGCUAUAGUGAGUUGUCCUACAGUGAGUUGUCUCUCCAGUCCUAUAGUGAGUUGACUCACCAUGGCUAUAGUGAGUUGUCCUACAGUGAGUUGUCUCUCCAGUCCUAUAGUGAGUUGACUCACCAUGGCUAUAGUGAGUUGUCCUACAGUGAGUUGUCUCACCAGUCCUAUAGUGAGUUGUCCUAUAGUGUGUUGCCUCACCAGUCCUACAGUGAGUUGUGUUGUCUCACCAGUCCUACAGUGAGUUGUGUUGUCUCACCAGGCCUAUAGUGUAUUGUGUUGUCUCACCAGGCCUAUAGUAUGUUGUGUUGUCUCACCAGUCCUACAUUGUGUUGUGUUGUCUCACCAGUCCUAUAGUGAGUUGUGUUGUCUCACUAGUCCUAUAGUGAGUUGUCCUACAGUGAGUGGUCUCACCAGACCUAUAGUGAGUUGUCUCUCCAGGCCUAUAGUUAUUUGUUUCACCUUGUCAAUAUAUAGUGAGUUGUCGCACCAGUCCUAUAGUGUGCAGUCUCACCAGACCUAUAGUGAGUUUUCUCUCCAGGCCUAUAGUUAUUUGUUUCACCAGGUCUAUCUAUAGUGGGUUGUCUCUCCAGGCCUAUAGUUAUUUGUUUCACCAGGUCUAUCUAUAGUGGGUUGUCUCUCCAGGCCUAUAGCUAUUUGUUUCACCAGGUCUAUCUAGAGUGGGUUGUCUCUCCAGGCCUAUAGUUAUUUGUUUCACCAGGUCUAUCUAUAGUGGGUUGUCUCUCCAGGCCUAUAAUUAUUUGUUUCACCAGGUCUAUCUAUAGUGGGUUGUCUCUCAAGGCCUAUAGUUAUUUGUUUCACCAGGUCUAUCUAUAGUGGGUUGUCUCUCCAGGCCUAUAAUUAUUUGUUUCACCAGGUCUAUCUAUAGUGAGUUGUCUCUCCAGGGCUAUUGUCAUUUGUUUCACCAGGUCUAUCUAUAGUGAGUUGUCUCUCCAGGGCUAUUGUCAUUUGUUUCACCAGGUCUAUCUAUAGUGAGUUGUCUCUCCAGGGCUAUUGUCAUUUGUUUCACCAGGUCUAUCUAUAGUGAGUUGUCUCACCGGUCCUGUAGUGUGCAGUCUCACCCGGCCUGUGCGUCUCCUCAGCGUAGGGUUGAAGCCGUGGACGAUAGUCUCUUAAAGGGUAAUAGUUUUGACUCUCCUGUAAUGCCAGAGAAAAAUAACAUGAGGUUUGUACGAACGAUGCGUCGCAUAACUAUUCACACAUUAUUAUAUACAGUUUCGCUAUGUAUAGUGUGAUAUUAUCUAUCGAUGCAUAUAUCUUCAACAGGAGGUUUAACCACUCGCAUUUACGAUCGUCAUUUCAAUCUGCACACUUGUGUUUAUAGCGGUGCCUGUAAAACCUUGAGUCACC